ensembl:rRNA 5S_rRNA 5S ribosomal RNA
GUCUACAGCCAUACCACUCUGAACGCACCCGAUCUCGUCUGGAAUCAGAAGUCACUGUACUGUCUGGGUAAGAGAUGAUGGCCUCUUGAACGAAAGUGGUGGUGAUG